rnacentral:lncRNA from 1 species
CAGGACUUCUGAUCGAGAUUCGUGGGCUCGUGUGGACGACUCCUAGAGGCCGGACACAUGUGCGGCUUGCAACAUCAUUCUUAAGCCCGGAUCAGCGAGGUUAGAGCGUCUAACUUGCAAGGUAAUAGAUCUGAUCUAUUGUUUAAUACAUACAUUAGAUGUGGUAUAGAAACAUGUUGAUAUGAUCAACAUGUAGUUCAUGCUAUAUUUAUAUAUUUUAAUU